CCUACGGGUGGCAGCAGUGAGGAAUAUUGGUCAAUGGCCGUAAGGCUGAACCAGCCAAGUCGCGUGCAGGAUGACGGAUCUAUGGUUUGUAAACUUCUUUUAUAGGGGAAUAAAGGUCUCCACGUGUGGAUAUUUGCAUGUACCCUAUGAAUAAGCAUCGGCUAACUCCGUGCCAGCAGCCGCGGUAAUACGGAGGAUGCGAGCGUUAUCCGGAUUUAUUGGGUUUAAAGGGUGCGUAGGUUGUAUUUUAAGUCAGCGGUGAAAGUUUGUGGCUCAACCAUGAAAUUGCCGUUGAAACUGGAAGGCUUGAGUGUGUGUGAGGUAUGCGGAAUGCGUGGUGUAGCGGUGAAAUGCAUAGAUAUCACGAAGAACUCCGAUUGCGAAGGCAGCAUACGAAGGCGCAACUGACACUGAAGCACGAAGGCGCGGGGAUCGAACAGGAUUAGAUACCCGUGUAGUC
rnacentral:rRNA from 1 species